UACGGGGGGGGCAAGCGUUGUUCGGAAUUACUGGGCGUAAAGGGCGCGUAGGCGGCCAUCUAAGUCAGACGUGAAAUCCCCCGGCUUAACCUGGGAACUGCGUCUGAUACUGGACGGCUUGAGUAUGGGAGAGGGAUGUAGAAUUCCAGGUGUAGCGGUGAAAUGCGUAGAUAUCUGGAGGAAUACCGGUGGCGAAGGCGGCAUCCUGGGACCAUUACUGACGCUGAGGCGCGAAAGCUAGGGGAGCAAACGGGG
rnacentral:rRNA from 1 species